GACACUUUUGUCUCUAUAGUUUAACUUAAGGAACAAGAAGGAAAACAAACAAAAGUAAAAAAGAAAACCAGUGAUUCCAUUGGAGGAAAAACCAAUGGUGAUUGGUCGUGGACAACCGUGCCACACUAGAGAUCCCUUUGGAUCUCAAGUGGGUGACAAACAUGAAAAUGGAUGACAAUCGGCUUCCCAUCGGAGGUCCGGUUGCAUCCAAACGGGGCCAAAGUGUCGGACUAUUCAAGUGUGCCAUGGCUUGUCAAGCUUAUUUAGGUAUUUUUUAACUUGUAAGGGCCACAAGACUAUUUCUCUUUCCUCCUCGAUCAAGAGAAAAAAGAGAAUCAAUCCUUUCUUCUCUUCUUUCAUGUGAGAACGGCCCUAUCUUGUAUCGAAAGGUUUUUCGUGCCGUUGAGAAAGACCAACUUCCUAUGUAUCGUACCUUUUUUUUACCUCGAAAGGGAGGUCCUCCUUAUGAUGCUACGGUGAACCCACAGAAUUUAACUUGAAAAAUCUAGGUCAUAACCCAACUUAUUAACUUUUUCCUAUCAGCUCAUCUCUAAUACGGCUGAAAUUCCAAGAUCAAUUUUUGGGAUAGCCUUCCAAAGGUUUCACCUUGUCAAUGGUUCACACCCAAAAUAACCAAACCUGUGAACAUAACUACCAAUGUACUCCCAUGCAAUUACAGAAGAUAACAUCCAUGGUUUCAAAAAGAUUAAUCCACAACCAGUAGAUCCCUAUCAUCUAUAAGCAUCCUUAGUACCAAUUUAGAACAAAGGUACUUAAAGCACCUCACUGACACUUAGAAACUUGUAUCACCAUUCUUCAAGUUAUUAGCAUCAUUAACAACUAAUAUGCCAAGCAGUAAACAAGACCUUCCCAAAACAGAACCAAAAUAAUCUCUUAAAACUCCUCAUUAUGCCUUCCAUAGCAUUUGUCCAAAUUCCUAUAAAAAGAGUCAGCCAUCAAAUUAAUACCCAGCAAGCCAUAGAGACUACAAAACCAUCUGCAAUAUUAAGACACUUUCUGGCCAACAAUCUCUGCAGAAGGGAAAUUCCUCUUAUGGAAGAUGUCAACAGAUUCUAAAACUCUCUUCAUCCAAUUAACAACAUAAUAUGAAAUCCAAAGGCUCAUCUUGAAAUUUCUUUACCCAUUUAACAGCAUCCAUGGCAUCCAAAUCCACAAUUAAAAUUUCCAUUCCUAUUUAAUCUCAAAAACCCACAAAAUCUAAUCUCCAUUUUAAGAUAGUCUACAGUCCUCAAUGCUAAUUUAAGAAACGUAAAAAAUUCACACACUAAUCCAAUCUCAACUGAAACAAAAAAAAAAAAACUGAAUCCC
rnacentral:lncRNA from 1 species